GUCCCAGUAGCUCAGCUGGAUAGAGCGACAGCCUCCUAAGCUGUAGGCCGUGAGUUCGAAUCUCGCCUGGGACG
rnacentral:tRNA from 1 species